rnacentral:rRNA from 1 species
ACGCUCGACACCUACGGGGGCAGCAGUUGGGAAUAUUGGACAAUGGAGGAAACUCUGAUCCAGUGACGCCGCGUGAAGGAAGAAGGUCUUCGGAUUGUAAACUUAUUUUGUCAGGGAAGAAAAAAUGACUGUACCUGAAGAAAAAGCACCGGCUAACUACGUGCCAGCAGCCGCGGUAAUCUGAGGCGGGCUGGCAAGGC